rnacentral:rRNA from 1 species
ACUCAAAUGAAUUGACGGGGACCCGCACAAGCGGUGGAGCACGUGGUUUAAUUCGACAGUAAGCGAGGAACCUUACCCAGACUUGACAUCUAGCGAAUCCUGUAGAGAUACGGGAGUGCCUUCGGGAACGCUAAGACAGGUGUUGCAUGGUCGUCGUCAGCUCGUGCCGUGAGGUGUAUGGUUAAGUCCAAUAACGAGCGCAACCCUUAUCUCAUGUUAAAUUAUUCAUGAGAAACUGCCCGGGAUAACCGGGAGGAAGGUGGGGAUGACGUCAGAUCAGCAUGGCCCUUAUGUCUGGGGCGACACACAUGCUACAAUGGGUAGAACAAAGGGAAGCCAAACCGUAAGGUGGAGCAAAUCCCAUCAAAUCUACCCCCAGUUCGGAUUGAGGGCUGCAACUCGCCCUCAUGAAGCCGGAAUCGCUAGUAACCGUAUAUCAGCCAUGGUACGGUGAAUACGUUCUCGGGUCUUGUACACACCGCCCGU